ACGGAGGGUCCAAGCGUUAUCCGGAUUUAUUGGGUUUAAAGGGUCCGCAGGCGGGAUAUUAAGUCAGUGGUGAAAGCCUACAGCUUAACUGUAGCACUGCCAUUGAUACUGGUAUUCUUGAGUAUGGUUGAAGUGGGCGGAAUAUGUCAUGUAGCGGUGAAAUGCAUAGAUAUGACAUAGAACACCUAUUGCGAAGGCAGCUCACUAAGCCAUUACUGACGCUCAGGGACGAAAGCGUGGGUAGCAAACAGG
rnacentral:rRNA from 1 species